rnacentral:rRNA from 1 species
ACACUCCUACGGGAGGCAGCAGUGGGGAAUUUUGGACAAUGGGCGCAAGCCUGAUCCAGCCAUGCCGCGUGCGGGAAGAAGGCCUUCGGGUUGUAAACCGCUUUUGUCAGGGAAGAAAAGGUUCUGGCUAAUACCUGGGACUCAUGACGGUACCUGAAGAAUAAGCACCGGCUAACUACGUGCCAGCAGCCGCGGUAAUACGUAGGGUGCAAGCGUUAAUCGGAAUUACUGGGCGUAAAGCGUGCGCAGGCGGUUAUGCAAGACAGAGGUGAAAUCCCCGGGCUCAACCUGGGAACUGCCUUUGUGACUGCAUGGCUAGAGUACGGUAGAGGGGGAUGGAAUUCCGCGUGUAGCAGUGAAAUGCGUAGAUAUGCGGAGGAACACCGAUGGCGAAGGCAAUCCCCUGGACCUGUACUGACGCUCAUGCACGAAAGCGUGGGGAGCAAACAGGAUUAGAUACCCCGGUAGUCCCAUGA